AUUGAACGCUGGCGGCAUGCCUUACACAUGCAAGUCGAACGGUAACGCGGGGCAACCUGGCGACGAGUGGCGAACGGGUGAGUAAUGCAUCGGAACGUGCCCAGUAGUGGGGGAUAGCCCGGCGAAAGCCGGAUUAAUACCGCAUACGACCUACGGGUGAAAGGGGGGGAUCGCAAGACCUCUCGCUAUUGGAGCGGCCGAUGUCAGAUUAGGUAGUUGGUGGGGUAAAGGCGUACCAAGCCGACGAGCUGUAGCUGGUCUGAGAGGACGACCAGCGACACUGGGACUGAGACACGGACCAGACUCCUACGGGAGGCAGCAGUGGGGAAUUUUGUACAAUGUACGAAAGUCUGAUCCAGCCAUGCCGCGUGCAGGAAGAAGGCCUUCGGGUUGUAAACUGCUUUUGUCAGGGAAGAAAUCUUCUGGGCUAAUACCCCGGGAGGAUGACGGUACCUGAAGAAUAAGCACCGGCUAACUACGUGCCAGCAGCCGCCGUAA
rnacentral:rRNA from 1 species